rnacentral:rRNA from 1 species
ACAUGCAAGUCGAACGGAAGUCGUUAUAAAAAGGAUUGAAGAUUUAUCUGAUUGAGAUUUUAUAACAAUGGCUUUAGUGGCGGACUGGUGAGUAACGCGUGAGCAACCUGCCUACUAGAGGGGAAUAACAGUGAGAAAUCAUUGCUAAUACCGCAUAUGCCAUGAACAUCACAUGAUGAAAAUGGGAAAAGAGUAAUCUGCUAGUAGAUGGGCUCGCGUCUGAUUAGAUAGUUGGUGGGGUAACGGCCUACCAAGUCAACGAUCAGUAGCCGGACUGAGAGGUUGAACGGCCACAUUGGGACUGAGAUACGGCCCAGACUCCUACGGGAGGCAGCAGUCGGGAAUAUUGCGCAAUGGAGGAAACUCUGACGCAGUGACGCCGCGUAUAGGAAGAAGGUUUUCGGAUUGUAAACUAUUGUCGUUAGGGAAGAUACAAGACAGUACCUAAGGAGGAAGCUCCGGCUAACUACGUGCCAGCAGCCGCGGUAAUACGUAGGGAGCAAGCGUUAUCCGGAUUUAUUGGGUGUAAAGGGUGCGUAGACGGGACAACAAGUUAGUUGUGAAAUCCCUCGGCUUAACUGAGGAACUGCAACUAAAACUAUUGUUCUUGAGUGUUGGAGAGGAAAGUGGAAUUCCUAGUGUAGCGGUGAAAUGCGUAGAUAUUAGGAGGAACACCGGUGGCGAAGGCGACUUUCUGGACAAUAACUGACGUUGAGGCACGAAA